rnacentral:tRNA from 1 species
GCAUUGGUGGUUCAGUGGUAGAAUUUUCACUUUCCAGGUGGAAGACCUGGAUUUGAUUCUCCAUUAAUGCU